GAUUAUGGCUCAGGACGAACGCUGGCGGCGUGCUUAACACAUGCAAGUUGAACGGUAUGACAUGGAAGCUUGCUGAAGUGUCAUAUAGUAGCGGACGGGUGAGUAAUGCAUGAGAAGCUGCCAUUGGGAGGGGGACAACAGUUGGAAACGGCUGCUAAUACCCCGUAUGCCGGAAGGUGAAAAGGGAGCGAUCCGCCCGAUGAGGUGCUCAUGUCCUAUCAGCUGGUUGGUGGGGUAACGGCCUACCAAGGCGACGACGGGUAGCCGGCCUGAGAGGGUGAACGGCCACACUGGAACUGAGAUACGGUCCAGACUCCUACGGGAGGCAGCAGUGGGGAAUAUUGGGCAAAUGGGGGCAACCCUGACCCAGCGACGCCGCGUGGGGGAAGACGGCCUUCGGGUUGUAAACCUCUUUUGUACGGGAAGAAGGAAGUGACGGUACUGUACGAAUAAGUCCCGGCUAACUACGUGCCAGCAGCUGC
rnacentral:rRNA from 1 species